rnacentral:lncRNA from 1 species
UUUGGCACUUCCAUCUCCCAGGAUCACGACUUUGUCUCUCGGUGGAGCAGUGGCUCCUGGCUGAGCCAUCGUAGGAAGAAAAUAUCCUGCAAAACAAGCAGAGAUGAUAUAGGUGUAGGGGAUGCCUUGAGCCUCAAUUGCUCUGCGGAUUUUAGCUUUUUCGGCAAAGUUAGUUUUUGCAGGCUCCACGACAUUUGUACGAUCCACAUCAUUUCCGAACUCUGAGGGAAUGAAUCUCUGUAAUCAUGAGCGAAAGCAAGGCACAUCAAAAAAAAUAAUUCAGGAGUGGAUUAGAAAAUAUUGGGAAAUAUAGGCGAACCUUGACGUUUCCAGCUUCUUUAAUAGCAUCAAGAAUCUUGGAUUGAUCAAGUAUCUGUCCGAAAGUCACCGCUGAGAUGACCACGUCCACUUGCUUAAUGGCCUUUACUAAACUCUCAUGAUCAUGGAGAUCUCCCUGCACAUACCAAAUGAAAUUCAACUAUAUACAAAUAAACAUGUUCAUUUGUGGACAGUCGAUUUUAACAUAAAUUGGCCUUACAUAGACGACUGUAACUCCGGAGGCUUUAAAGCUCUCAAUGAGCUUUCCUUUGACAGGGUCUGAAACUGCACUUUCUCUCACCAAGGCAAACGUCUGAUGGCCUUGUUUUGCAGCGGCUUCCACCAGGAAUUUGCCAAUGUAUCCGGUAGAUCCGAUGACUAAGAUCUUGCUUUUCUCUGCCAUGAUCUCUAUGUUUGAUUUAUGUGUAUACUUAGCUCCUAUAUAGUUUGAAGGUGCUUAGAAAGUUUUAUAGUCUUGGUUCGGAGAAGCAACUUAUCUAUUAUAUAGAUCAAGAUCAAAUGUCGAUGAUCUAGGUAAUGACAUCACUUAAAGCUAAUUGUCAACGUUAGUAUUUUAAAUGUACGGUAGCAUGUGAAUUCUUAUUAAGGACGAGCAUUGAGCAAUAUGGAUCGAAUCGAUUGACCAUAUUGGCAUACUGCUAAAAUCAAAGCGAAUAACAAAUUCACAAGUUCAUGACGAGGCUUCGCAGUAGCAAAACUAUGCCUGCAGUUGACUCAGGGUAAAAUUUAACCCAGUCGGUUGCUUUUAGUUGCAGCUUUUCUAUUUAAAUAUCCUGGCUUCAAGUCCAAUUAACGCUCAAGUCCGAUGUUAUAAAAGGUGAAGAGAAGACCUGAUUGAUGGAGGUAGGGUUUAAAGAAUAAUAAUAUACAUCUCUUCUACAUAUUCAUUUUUGAAUCAAAUUGAAAAUUUUGUUUUAACAAAAUAUAAUAAAUACAUAUAAAUUUAAAUAUAAUCAUCAAUCUGGACAUAUUCUAACACAUAAAAAUAAAAUCAACAAAUAUUUAUUUGAAAGAUGAAAAGAAAAAUGUUAAUUUCAUAGGCCAGAUAUGAUUUUAGCUUCCUCCCGAAACAAAAGUUCUCAAAAUGAUGAUCUUAACAAGUCGUGCGCUCUUGUUUAGUUCCUUCUCGUCCCAUUCACAUGUUAUCCCCAAAUGUUACAAUUACAUGAUAUCGAUCAAGUCUAAAAAUUCCUCAACUCAAAACGGGAAGCCAGCAGAAUUAUGAAAUUAUAGUGAUAUGAAACAUACAAGGAACUAGUGAUAGAACGUUUCCGAUAUCAAUAUUUAGUCAAUUAUAAACUGAUCAAACCAGUGUACAAACACAAGCCAACACUAUAGGGGCUGUUUGGGAAAAUUUAAAAAAAUGAUUCAUUGCUUAAAGUAAAGAAGUGUGUUACAAGUGAAAAUUAAAUAACUUAAUAAAGUGUUUGGAAAAUAAACAGAAAUUUUGAGAGAGAAGCGUGCUUCUCCUUAUUUACACAAACGGAUCAAGAAAAAUAGAAACCAGAAACAGCUUAUGCUUAUUCAAUACAAACAGACCCUAUGUAUGGGAUUAAUGUCAUACAAAAAGUCCAAACAACAUCAAACAUAAAAAAUGAUCAUCAUAUAAAGAUAAAUAGCCGGCCUUUAGGUAUUGAUUAGUGACUACCAAGUACAAAGCGCACCAUUUAUUUAUUUUGCUAAGAAAUAUUACAAGUAGACUAUCACAGUCUUAUGAAUGAAGCUCAAACAAACUGAUGGAGGUAUUCGUCAACGGUUGUGUACUUGACAUCAGGGUAAAGCUGAGAAGCCUCGUGUCCGAAUGAAGCCUCUAUCUGGAAAUUGGUUUGAUCUCCCUUGAUAAAUACCGCAUGGCUGAUUGCAGACAUAAAAUCCAUCGGUGGCGGUGUCCCUGAAAAUAACAUAAAAAAAUCACACAAAUUCAGAUCAUGUUUUCCGAUGCACUGAUAAUUUUGGUAGUAGUUUGAUCCAAGGUCCAGCUCUGUCAUGUCAUGUUAUUUCAAGAUGCUACUCACCUCCAAUUUGCUUUAAAACAUGCUCCUCUGGAACAUAAGUCUUUUCAAGAACCUUGUCGAUCUUCUUCUCCCACAAGGCAACUAGAUCAUUAAAGGAGUAGAUAUUGUGAGGAGGCUUGAUGUAGAGGCUCUUGUUCACUGUUCUUGGGUCGUCCACUGUUUUAAUGACGUACGUGGCAACAUCUUGUUCCAAGUUAAACACGGCUACAAUCCAGAAGAAACGAAAUUAUAGUCUUGCCUACAAUAUGUAGCUACAUUAAUUAGUUGCUCAUAAUGAAAAGAAGUGACAGAGACGAUACCUUUUGCAGUUCCAUCUCCCAGGAUAACGACUUUGUCUCUUGGUGGAGCAGUGGCUCCUGGCUGAGCCAUGGUAGGAAGAAAAAUUCCUGCAAAACAAGCAGAGAUGAUAUAGGUGUAGGGGAUGCCUUGAGCCUCAAUUGCUCUGCGGAUUUUAGCUUUCUCCGCGAAGUUAGUUUUUGCUGGCUCCACAGGAUUUGUACGAUCCACAUCAUUUCCGAAUUCAGAGGGAAUG